rnacentral:rRNA from 1 species
UACGAAGGGGGCUAGCGUUGUUCGGAAUCACUGGGCGUAAAGGGUGCGUAGGCGGCUCUUUAAGUCAGGGGUGAAAUCCUGGAGCUCAACUCCAGAACUGCCUUCGAUACUGAAGAGCUUGAGUUCGGGAGAGGUGAGUGGAACUGCGAGUGUAGAGGUGAAAUUCGUAGAUAUUCGCAAGAACACCAGUGGCGAAGGCGGCUCACUGGCCCGAUACUGACGCUGAGGCACGAAAGCGUGGGGAGCAAACAGG